rnacentral:rRNA from 1 species
GACUGCCAUCGACAAGAUGGAGGAAGGUGGGGAUGACGUCAAGUCAUCAUGGCCCUUAUGUCCAGGGCGACACACGUGCUACAAUGGCCGGCACAACGGGAAGCGAGUUCGCGAGGACGAGCGGAUCCCUCAAAGCCGGUCGCAGUUCGGAUUGAAGUCUGCAACUCGACUUCAUGAAGCUGGAAUCGCUAGUAAUCGUGGAUCAGCCAAGCCGCGGUGAAUACGUUCCCGGGCCUU